rnacentral:lncRNA from 1 species
UUUAGACCAAACACUCUCUCUCCUAGUCUCUCUCUUGGCCGAAUUCUCUGCAGCAAAAACACAACACAAAGUUGCCAUUUUCAUCCUCAAUUCUUGCACAAAAACUUCAUGGAUUCACACCAAAUUUGAACUACACUUAGCUUGUCACGUGGAGAGAUCAUCUAGCUAGAAAAAGGAGGAGUUUCUCACGGUUUCUUGGAGCAUCUUGAGGACCGAAAUUUCUGGUUUAAAGCAACAAGGAGGUAUAACCUCAUCCUACACCUUAAGCUUGGUUUAUGAUGGUAGAAAUGCAUCCUUAAGCUAUUGCAUGUGUAUGGGUAUCUUGAUAUUGUUGGAAAAAUGUGAAAGUGGGCUCUAUGGAUUCCCACACUUGGGUUGUUGCUGAUUUGAUGAUUGAUGGUGGAUAUAUUGUUGGUUUAGUGGUUAAAAUGAUGGAUUAAUGGUGUGUAAUUGACAGAAAUUUCAUUGGGUGCAAGAGGCAAAAGUUUCCGAUUUUACCCCUGCCUUGUCCGACCACUUUUGUGCAAAAUUUUGAAGUUCUAAUGGCUUGAUUAUGUUGUUUACAUGUUAUUGUGAGUGUGUACAAAAUUUCAUUGAAAAAUAACAUGAUUUGGUUGGUCAAAUGAAUUGAUUUCGAAAGUUAGCAAAUCUGGAAAAUGAUUCCCGUAUUGACCAGGCAGUCAUUUUGUAUCGGCUAUAACUCUUUACUCCGAUGUCGAAAUCAAGUGCCGUUUGCGGCAUUGGAAACUAGACAUUCCCAGCUUUCCAUUGGUACUAAAUUCGCGUUCUGGUUCCACUUGAGUGAGCCACACCAUUCGUUUGAAAAUCACUGCCCUGUUUCGUUGCUCUCCAGGAGACAGGACAGAAAUUUCUUCUUGAUGCUCAAAAACGAGCUGUUUGUGGAUAGAAUUUGGAAAUGGUUUCUUCUGAGAAAAUUCAGCUUUAUGAGAGAGAUUUCUAACGCCAUCAACACGCUCAAUUCCAAGUUGAAUUGAGUGAGUUGUGGCCAUAUUUCGAAACUGAUGCAGUGAGUAAAAAUCCUCUUUUGACUAGUUAAAUGGCCUAGCUUGAUUUGGGACUUGUUGUUUUGGAAAAUUUGAUGUCCAACAUCUACCAAACUUUAUAUUAGAUGUUUCUUGGACUUUGUUUUACAAAUAAACCAGAUUUGGGUUGGUUGCUUUGGACAAAAUAUUUAAAAAGGAAAGAAGAGCUAGAAGACAGUUUUACCUUGGGAAAUUUCCUGAACUUUGAUGGUUUAGUUAACUACCUUCCCGUGUGAAUUUUCAAAUGAAAUUUGGUAGAAGAGUAAUCCUCAUAUGGAGGUUUAAUUGUACAAAAUUUGGUAAUAUUCUAAGACCAUUUUGAUAUGCAAAUGAUGUCACAAAAUUCGCUCAUCGAAUCUGGAAAACUUUUGUUUUCUCUUAGCCGAAUGGCAAAUCUGAUUUGGAGAGUUUUAUUUCGAAAAUUUGGAUGUCAAUGGUCUUUAAAUUGCUCAGUGAAUGUUUAUGAACUCCUGGUUUCAAUAAUGGAGAGAUUUGGAACUGAUUUCAUGGUACAAAAAGUUUGUAAACAAAAGAAAAGUGAGAAGGUAGUUUAGCCUUGAAACUCUUCAUAAACUUUGGUUGUUUUAAUGACUACCUUACCGUGUGAGUUUUUGUAUGAACUUGUAGAAAUGUUGUUCACAUAUGGAAGAUUUAGUGUACCAAGUUUUAUGUAUUUCCACUGCCAACUUGAUGACCAAAUGAUAUUUCAAAUCUAGUUUUAAACCUGGAAAAUAGCCCAACAGUCUUAACUUUUUCAGCAACUUGGAGGUACUAUAUCUUGGUGCUCGAAACUCCGUUUCUCGUUCCGCUUGUUUUGUUAUACUCUUGGAUUGCAACACUAAUUGAUUUCCAAAUUUCAAAGGUUAGUUCAAAACAAGUGAUUUUGCCGAAUUUCUAAAGUUGGCCAAAAACCAACUUAAAUCUGUCUUGGUAAUUCAAGUUACCAACUUUGAGCCAAAAUUUGAGUGCCUUUCACUUACAUUCGUGGAAAAGUGUCUUCUAAGAACUUUUAGUACUUUGAAAGAGGAUUCCAACAGUAAAGUUUUCCAAUUUUGGACUUGUGGAGAGUGAAAUAUGAUUUUUCAAAUAUUACUUGUUAAAUCUGGAAUUUUUUAACUUAAAGGAAACUAAAGGUUUCAAACCCUCCAUUUUCCUUCAAUAUCAUUUGAUCGUUUUACAUUUGAUUUUAAAGAUGGAAAUCAGAUUUGUCUUGUAUUUUAAAACCCACUUUUGAACCUCGAGUUACACGAACUCUUAGACUUGCCUCUGCGUUAAUUUCUUAGAUUGUACUAGUGUACAAUUUUCCUCGAUAAUUAGAAUGAUUUUGAGUGGUAGUUGAUUAUUGUUGCUCAGGCACUCGAGGGAAUCUCCCAGAGGAACUCGGAGCGGACACCUAAAACGCUUGUUUGAGAACUACUCGCUUGUUUUGACUAGGUGAGUGUUCCAUAUAGGAAUACGUAAUUGGAAUAAGUCUAUGACAUGCUUAACCCAUGGUCAUUAAGUAUUUACCACACUCAUGCAUAUUUGAAUAAUGUAUACUUGAAUUGCUCGACAUAAACACCUGAAGUAUGUAUAUUUGAACUUUGAUAUGAAAUGCUUAAAGAGCAUACUUAUGUGAUUACUUGAAAUACUAGAUAUGAAAUGUUUGGAGAGCAUAUUUACAUGAUGUGUUUAAAUGAUUAAUUAUGCUAUGGAAGCAUAAGUCGGUUGGAGUGAAUCUCCUCGACUCUUACGUGGUGAAAGUGAAAAACGGCCAAUGGCGGCCUAUUGAAAUGACAUAUGUCUACCAAUUAACCGUAAUUACUACCGUUAACCGUUUACGUUUACCGUGUUUACUUACCGUUUUCUAAUCUAUGUGGUUACUUGCCUACUUGAUUAUCUGCUUACGUGAUCACCAACUUACUUGAUUACUUGACCACCUGAUUACUUGAUUAUCAUAAAUUAUAUGCUCAUAUGAAGUGGGCCACGGUUUUAAAGCUGAGUCCAUCAUUAUUAGCUGUGUACUUUACCUCACUCGACCUACUCAAAUGAUGAAUUUUUACUUUUGUCGAAUUACUUGGUUACCUGUGCAUGUUGUAAGCUCUAAGCUGAACUUGGGCCCCGCCCUGGUUACUGACCUACUCGAGCCAGGACUGGGCUCGGUCGGGUAGGUUGGAACCCUGGCCACCGUUUCGGUAUACUCGAGUAUUACCACUGGAGGGAUAAGGCGAUGGCCAGACACGUACCGUGGGGAUCAGAAGUCAUAAGGUGCAGAUGACCGACAGAGUUCCACUGGAACACCGUAUCCUACCGUAUAUGUUUACCUUGUAUCAUGAUAAUUGUUUCAUGCUAAAAUGUCAACAUGAAAUCCUGAACUAUGGUGAUAUGCUUCCAUACCUGUUACCUGACCAAUGUACUUAUAUCAUGAUACCUGUCUCAUGAUAAAUGUCUCUAUACCAUGAUAAAUGUCUCAAAUUACUCGUACAAUGAUUAUCACCUCAUGAUAACACGCCAUUGUGUAACCAUUGAACCAUGCAUAUGAUAUGCCCAACUUACUUGAUUUAUUUGAACUGUUAGAGUGUCUUGGAACCUCACUGGGCUGUGUAGCUCAUCCCACGUUGUGGUUUUCUUUUUACAGGGUUCGAGACCAAGGGUGCUCGUGAGUAGUACUAGAUUGUUUUCUUUUGAAACUUUAAGUUAUAUUAUAACGGAUGGCUAUUGUACCCUUUUUCGUUGGGUUGUAUUUUAAGCUUGGAAGCUGCAUAAUUGUAAGUGUGAGAUAUUUGGAGUACUUUAAUUAUGUAUUGAAGUUACUUAAAGUAUUUCGAGCUUUUGAAUGAUGGAUUGUAGUGAGUCCUGGCGAGAAGCUGGGCAGGCGUCCCGCGGAUACCCUUUGGUUCGCCUUAGGGAGAAGUGGGGGCGUUACAAUUGGUAUCAGAGCUUAGGCUUCAGAUUUUGUAGUGUAUCCUAGGCUUAAAUGUUUAGGAUGCCGGACUGUGGGACUAUUCUGAAAGUUAAAUGAUUGCUUGUAGUGAUGAAAUUUAGAGCCACUUCACGUGGUCUCUACAAAGGAGCAAGAUAGGGCCAAGUGGUGUUUGGUCCUUACUAUGUGAUUAAGUAAAGACUUAAGUGCCCUUCUAGAAAUGUAAGUUGUGAAUCAUGAAUGUUAUAGGUUGUAAAACCUUUAUCUUGAUAAUUGGAGGGAAUUUGAUAUGUAUGUUGGGUAGGAAUCUCGAAUGUGGUGAUUUACUCUUGGGACCGGCCGGCUCGAGAUGUGAAUUAUCCUAUUUUGGAUUCUUGAACCCGAGUACUUGGAGUGGAAAGCAACCAUAGGGACUUUAUAUCUCCAUUUGUGGGGAAUAAGAAUGAAUCGAUAUUUCAUGUGAAUGGUUACAGGAAACCAAUAAUUGUUUGGUUAAGAUGGUACAAUAAUUAAGAGUGGAAGAUGGAAAAUAUCGUAACCCAAAAGAUCCUUGUGUUGGGAUUGAAAUCGAGCAUGUUAGGGAACGAGAAUCGUCUAGUUCCAAUUAAUCUAGUGAAUCUCUACUGGUGAUCUUUCAUAGUGAGACGAUGGGAGUAGAACUUAAGAGUUUGCGCCUUGGAGAUGAAUGUACUUGUGAUAAUCACUUGUUUAUUUUUGUUAUUGACUUUGACUUGGCAUGAACUUUACUUGGCCAUAAUUUGUGUUAUGAUUUAAUGAACUCUAGUUUGUGUUUACUUGCAUAGUGAUAAUGUUAUUUGUGAAAGUGUCUUCAUCCUCUUUAAAUGUUGCUACUGGUAUAUGAGUGUAGUUCAAUUUUAACUAAGUGUGAGGGUUAUGCAUGUGCGUAUAGAUUAGUUGUGGACAUGGAAACUAGAGGACAACGAAAGGGACGUCAACCUAGACAACCCCGAAAUGAAAGAGUAGCUAAUGGGUCCGAUAUCGAUCAAAACGUUGAGCUAAGUGCUGGGAGAGGAAAUGACCAGAUAGGACAAGUUUUAACUCGCAUGACGGAUAUCCUAGAGCUCUUGGUAGCUCAACAAGGUCAAGGUGUUGGACAAGGAAACCAACGUGGAAACCAAGAGAUAGGGGAGGAUCGAGCUUUAGAGCGGUUUCAGAAAUUCUCUCCGCCCAAGUUUGCUGGAGGGCCUGAUCCAGAGGUGGCUGAGAAUUGGUUAGAAAUAUAAGAAAUAUAUUCGAUGCCUUGGAUUACACAGAGGAGAGACAAGUCACAUUUGCUGUAUUUCAACUUGAAGGAGCAGCCCGAGCAUGGUGGAAUGUUAUAAGAAACAAGUGGGAAAGAGAUCAAACUCCGAGAAUUUGGAUAAACUUCGUGCGUGAAUUUAAUGAGAAAUUUCUUCCUCCACUUGUCCAAGAAAAGAGAGAAGAUGAUUUUAUAAAGCUUCGUCAAGGAACUUUAAGCGUAGCUGAGUAUGAAACACGCUUUACGAAGUUAUCUACAUAUGCCCCAGAAUUGGUGGCUACUGAACGGAAGAGAAUAAGACGGUUUAUCCAAGGAUUAGAUUUGGAAAUCCAAGAUGCCCUUGCCGCAGCACAGGUUGAAACAUUUAGUGACGCUCUUGAAAAAGCGCAAAGGGUAGAAAGCACAAAAUCUCAACUGAGAGCUUUUCAAAAAAGGAAAAGAGAUACAUCUGACAGUACACUAGGAAAAAAUGGACCACCACCCAAAGUUAGAAAAGAAGUGGAUGAAGUAGGACUGUUACACUUCCUGCACCACUCAUGAUAAAGGAACCAAAAGGAACUAUGUCACGAGGGACUUCAGUAGGACAAACACGAUCAAAGAAAACCUCGCAAGCAAGUCAGGUCACAACACCUCGUCCGACUUGUGGAUAUUGUGGAAGGACGAAUCACACUGAAGAAAACUGUUGGCUAAAGGGACGAAAGUGUAUGGGAUGUGGGAGUACCAAUCAUAAAGUUCAUGACUGUCCAAGGAGGUAUCCGAGAAACUACUGCUCAACAAGGAAAUGGAACUGUUCCUCGACAAGUCAAUGGAAGGAGAAACCGACCAAUGGCAUCUGAAAGAACGCAUGACAUGAACACACACGGUUCAGAGUUGUCUGAGAUUACAGAAGGUAUGAAUUUCGAGGACGAAAUUCUUUUAAGGAGGGGAGGUUGUGAGGACUCGCAAAAUUUACUUAUUUAAUCUCCUAUUUCUAGCUUAUUUAAUUAUUUAUUUGGUCUUUUACUCCGAAUAUUAUUUUCUAAGCUCUUGAGACUAAUUACAUGGAAAUAUAGUUUCAUUAUAUUUUUAAAAUGACUUGUUUCAAAAAUUAAUUUUCGGAAGCUCGUUUUGUAAAAAUAGUGAACACGUCUUUGGAAAUCUUGAUCGAUUGAGAGUACAAUAGGUUUGAAAUAUUGGAGACAUGUACAAUGGACCUAAAAUUAGGCAUUUUAAUGUUUAAAUACUCAAGUGAUGGUUAGUAGUACGGACGUUAUAAGAAUUUCUCGGAGGUUUCGCGUUAUAGCGAUAAAAUUGACGGUACACGUUUCCACACGCGUGACUUUAUUUGAGGGACUUUAGACCCUUAUUUCGGGAUAAUUAAGAGUGAAUAUUAUCUACAUGAAUAUAAGUGCAUUAGAGGUUUAGUGCACUAGUGAACCAAACGCGCGAGAAAUCGAGCCGAAACGCGCCCAAACGCACCCAAACGCACCCUAGUGAGAGUUGACUUUGGGGAUGAUUUUUGCACCACACAUUGUGUCUUCCUUAAGAAGCUAAAUUUAGACCAAACACUCUCUCUCCUAGUCUCUCUCUUGGCCGAAUUCUCUGCAGCAAAAACACAACACAAAGUUGCCAUUUUCAUCUCAAUUCUUGCACAAAAACUUCAUGGAUUCACACCAAAUUUGAACUACACUUAGCUUGUCACGUGGAGAGAUCAUCUAGCUAGAAAAAGGAGGAGUUUCUCACGGUUUCUUGGAGCAUCUUGAGGACCGAAAUUUCUGGUUUAAAGCAACAAGGAGG